AAGAUUUUUAUACCCCACCUACGAUAGUAGAGGGGCAUUAUGUUUUCUGGUCUGUGCCUCCGUUCGUCCGUCCGGUUAAAGUUUUUGGUCGAGGUAGUAUUUGAUGGAGCUGAAGUCCAAUCAACUUGAAACUUAAUACACAUGUUCCCCAUGAUAUGAUCUUUCUAAUUUUAAUGCCAAAUUAUAGUUUUGACCCCAAUUUCAUGGUCCACUGAACAUAGAAAAUGAUAGUGCAAAGUUCAGGUUAAAGUUUUUGGUCAAGGUAGUUUUUGAUGAAGUUAAAGUUACAUCAACUUGAAUCUUAGUACACAUGUUCCCUAUGAUAUGAUCUUUCUAAUUUUAAUUCCAAAUUAAAGUUUUUACCCCAAUUUCACGGUCCACUGAACAUAGAAAAUGAUAGUGGGAGUGGGGCAUCCGUGUACUAUGGACACAUUCUUGUUAA
rnacentral:lncRNA from 1 species